GACGAACGCUGGCGGCGUGCUUAACACAUGCCAGUCGAACGGAAAGGCCCUGCUUUUGUGGGGUGCUCGAGUGGCGAACGGGUGAGUAACACGUGAGUAACCUGCCCUUGACUUUGGGAUAACUUCAGGAAACUGGGGCUAAUACCGGAUAGGAGCUCCUGCUGCAUGGUGGGGGUUGGAAAGUUUCGGCGGUUGGGGAUGGACUCGCGGCUUAUCAGCUUGUUGGUGGGGUAGUGGCUUACCAAGGCUUUGACGGGUAGCCGGCCUGAGAGGGUGACCGGCGACAUUGGGACUGAGAUACGGCCCAGACUCCUACGGGAGGCAGCAGUGGGGAAUAUUGCACAAUGGGCGGAAGCCUGAUGCAGCGACGCCGCGUGCGGGAUGACGGCCUUCGGGUUGUAAACCGCUUUCGCCUGUGACGAAGCGUGAGUGACGGUAAUGGGUAAAGAAGCACCGGCUAACUACGUG
rnacentral:rRNA from 1 species